UGAUAUCAGGGCCCAAAGGUCAAAAAGUCGUUCGUGCCUGCACGAUAAGACUUUUGAACUUGGGACCUGCCAAAUAUGAGAAAGUAGCGAUUUACAUAGCAAAUCAGCGGAUUUCGAAUGUUUGAGAAUCUGAUAAAAAUUUGAGUGUGAGAGGGAAGAGCAUGAAACAUCU
rfam:Ruminococcus sp. CAG:9 genomic scaffold, scf72